GUGGGGAAUAUUGGACAAUGGGCGCAAGCCUGAUCCAGCAAUGCCGCGUGGGUGAAGAAGGUCUUCGGAUCGUAAAGCCCUUUCGACAGGGACGAUGAUGACGGUACCUGUAGAAGAAGCCCCGGCUAACUUCGUGCCAGCAGCCGCGGUAAUACGAAGGGGGCUAGCGUUACUCGGAAUUACUGGGCGUAAAGGGCGCGUAGGCGGCUCUGUUAGUCAGGCGUGAAAUUCCUGGGCUUAACCUGGGGACUGCGCUUGAUACUGCAGGGCUUGAGGCCGAGAGAGGGUGGUGGAAGUCCCAGUGUAGAGGUGAAAUUCGUAGAUAUUAGGAGGAACACCAGUGGCGAAGGCGAAUUGCUGGACAGUAACUGACGCUGAGGCGCGAAAGCGUGGGGAGCAAACAGGAUUAGAUACCCUUGUAGUCC
rnacentral:rRNA from 1 species